CUUGUUGCAUGGCUACCUACCUUAUUUUUUCUGAAGAUAUUAACAAUAGUUUUUUAAAAAUUUUUAAGAAUUCUUUUGGUUCCUGCUUUACCUUCGUUUCCUCUGAAUCCCUUGAUUCCAAUUUUUGUUUUGUUUUAGUUUUUGCUAGAGUUCUUAAGUGUCUGCUGACCCUUGGCUCUGUUCAUAUUUCAGAGCGAGGAACCAUGUUGCUGACUGGAAUUCUAUGAUUAUGGGUGGACCUUGUUGACUGACGGGCUUCAGUGUAAACUGAUUUGGUCCUGGAAAUUUUGUUAGCCAUCUCACAAAUGUCAGACUCUCUAGAGACCAGCCCUCUAGCUUUUGUCUUGUUGUCAGUCUUCUGGGAGUCCAGUAGGUGAAGGAAGGGGGAUGUCUCACCAUUCAGUUUUUAGAAUUCACUUUACAUAGGUCCUAGUUCUGAGGGAGACCAGCUUGAGGCUUGACCCUUAGGCCACCCAUAUCUAGAGAAGAGGAGGAUGAAGCUAAUGAAGGGGACUGAGGAGUGGUCAGAACGUCAGGAAGAGAACCAAGGAAGGAGAUGAUCAACAGCAUUGGCUGGUGAGAGCCCAGGUGUCAGAUCAGUUGACUUCAGACAAAGCUUGAAGAUCCUCACUGUUAGAGGUGGAAUCCAGCUUGUCAGAAAAAGAAAAUGGAGGAAGAGAAGCUAAAUGGCCGUGUAGAGACUGAACUCUCCAUCUCACUCAGAAUUUGUCCUUUGCUGGGCAUUGCUGGCUCCAGUUCACAUUCCUUCCACAUGUUCUGAGUAUAUUCUGGAGAAAUAGGGGAUGCAGGCACAUCAGCCAUCAGAAGUGAUUGACAGGAGACAAGCGGGAUUCUUAAAUGUAUGAAAGUAAAACAAACACUUUAUUUAAGGAAAAGGCAACUUGGAAAAAAAAAGCCUAAUAAAUAACUCAGUACAGCUGGCUUAAGCACUUUAAAGCCAGUGUCUGUGAUAAGCAAUGAAAACAUUAAUAUAAAAUGCUUCACCAUAAAUGAGUACAAUUCAGGCUGAUGUAUUGCAGCUGAGCCGGCUGUCGGAUGGCAUGCUUUUAAAGUGAUGUUUACAAUCAGUAUUUUUUCCUUUGGUAAGUAGAAGAAGGCAGAAAUGGCUGGAAGCCGUGCCAGGGUGCGGCUCUGAGUCUUGGGAGGGUGGGAGGCCUUCCAGGAGGCUAGCUUUCCUCUACUACCCCUUUCCCAACCAGCUUGAGACGAGCAGUUAGGAAUCUCAGAGCAGGGCGGCACAGACCCUGAGCAGGGAGCUCGGAGCCUGGGUUCAUUUAGCAUCCAGCUCUGAGGUCUGGAGAUGGUGGGUCAGUAUUUCUGGGCUCUUUGUCUCUCCAGCUCGUCCUGGAGGUCACAGAAGGUGUUUCCCAGGUGCUCUGACACCAGGGUCCACGUGCCCCAACUGAGUCUCCUCUUUCUCUGCCCUGGAGCCUCCCGGCAGUGUCGCCCAUCGAGCUCCUCACCCCUGAAGUCCAUUCAAAACAAGCAUAUGUUUCACUUUGACAUUUUCAAAUUUAUAAAAUAGAGGGGGAAAUGCUACCUGUCCUGCCAUGACAAUGUGGUUAUAGAAGAAUCAGAUAAAAUAAUCAUAUGAGAGAAUGUAAAGCCUUCUUUUUAAUGUAUGGGUAACGUGGCAAUCACUCUCUAAAGGACAUUCCUUCUUAGUAAGUAAUAAUAAUAAUAAAAGCAGCUCACAUUUGCUGAGGCCAGCUUCAUGCCAGGCCCAAGUCAAGCACAGAGUGGUCCCUCUUGGGGACACACCUACCAGGUUCCUGUUGGCCCUGGCCCCAUGCCUCUGUGGAUACCCUUCUCUCAGCCUCAAAAGCCCUUCCUUUCUCCCUGUCUCAGGCUCCAUCCGGAUUCUGCUUCUCCUGUGUUGCCAGCACCCGCUUCUCUAUCUCAGGUUUCCGGCAGCCCUGCUGGUUGACAGGGGAAUGGGAGCUGUUUUGUUUUGUUUUUUCUUUAUCAUUCUUGUCCAUGAAACAGAUCACAAGGCCUUUUUCUUAAAGUGAAGUGUUCAACUGUCAAUCACUGCGGGGAAAAUAAACAAAACAGCAUAGAUGUUGAGGAGGUCAAAAUGCAGAGUCCUCUUGGUGGCUGUCACUGACUAGUGGUUCCCGAACUCUUUCUUAAAUGAUGACUCCAAAGGUUCCCAAGAAGGGGCUGACAGCCUUUCUAGCUGUCUGGGGUCUCACAGACAGCUGUUGACGACUUAGGUGCAAAACUAGCCUGCUCAGGCUCACCUACAACCCUGCAUUCUCUGGACCCCACAAAGUUUCUCCCCGGACUUAGAAAAUCCUAUACUCUUUCCUAUUAGUCUCCUAUGUCUUCUGUCACAAAUAACCACAAGCUUAGUGGCCUAAAAGGACAAAAAUUUAUCUUGCAAUUCUGGAGUCAGAAAUCUGACACAGGUCUAAGUGGGCUAGAAUUGGGGUGCUGGCAGGGCUGCAUUCCUUCUGGAGUCUCUUGAGGUGAAUACUUCUUUUUUAGCCUUUUCCAGCUUUUAGAGGUCACCCACAUUCCUUGGCUCAUGGCCCCUUUUCAUCUUCAAAGCCAGCCAUGGCUGGUUGAGUCCUCAUGUCCCAAUACUCUGACACUGACGCUCCUGCUUCCCUCUUCCAUCUUCUAAGGACACUCGUGUUGACGUUGGGCCCACUUGAAUAAUCCAGGAUAAUUUCCCUAUUUAAGGCCAGCACAUCAGCAAUCUUAUUUCCAUUAGCAACCUUAAUUCCCCCUUGCCAUGUAAGGAGCAUAUUUGCAGGUUCUGGGGAUUGGGACAUGGACAUCUUUGGGGGGGAUUGGCGUUAUCCUGAUUAUCACAACUGUUUACAAUUGACUUCUGCUCCUUGAAAUUCUUCCCUUCUUCUUGACAAAAAUAAGACCAGCUGUUAAGACUACUUCCACUUUCAGAUAAAGCUGGUCUCAUCACCUGGGGUCUCUAGAUAGACAAACUUGCUUAAAUUUCUUGUGAGGUCCCAGUGGUGGGCAGGUGCCAGCAUUUCAGGAGACUCCAUUGCCCAGCAACCAGAAGAAGCCUCUUCUGGAGUUUCAAAGAUCCUCUGUCCCUUUUUGGUCUCACUCUCAAUUCACACUUCUGCUCCAAGGGAGCACAGUGGUGUGGCUGAAGGGCUGAUGUGCCCUGAACAUCACAAAGAGUCCUGCUGCCAACUCCACUCACUCCUCUUUAUGAUGACACAAUCCAGUAUUCUACUCCUGAGAAUGGCCUCCUAAAAUGAUCACUUGUCAUCUAAAAUAGUUUUAACAAUCAGAAGCAAGAAAUAUAUAUAUAUUCUAAGAUGGAGAGGAUAAUUUUGCCAGCCCACUGUCAUAAUUAAGGCCAGCUGCUCCUCCCGACAUGUUCAUGUUGCCAUUACCAUCCAAUGCACCAUCAGGCAGCCUUAGGACAGUGUUCUGGAUCCACCACUAUGUGACCUAGGGCCAGCUACUUUACUUCUUUGAGCCUCAAAGAGGCCCUUUCUUUCUUUCUUUUCUUUCUGAGUUUUCUUGUUCCCCAAAUGGGAAGACAUAAUUUGAAGAGUGGGAAGAAAACGUUCCAGAUGUAUAAUUCUCUACUCCUUCCUUCUACCACUUGCCUCUCCCUCUCCCCUUUCUAACUCAGUUAUACACACUGAUCUCUCAUUGUUCUCAUCAUGCUUCAUUUAUUUCUAAAGGGCCUGGAAAUAACAUGUUGCUAUUUUCAGGUUCCCCACCCCCAUCUCCAAUAAGUACACAUACUGGAUAGAGAUGUGGAGAUGCCUCAGACUUCCACAUCAAGCGUGGUUUGUGAAUGGAGAGGAGACAAACCCACAGGAAGAAAGGACUGAGGACACAGUCAGAAGCCUCAGGCACAGGGAAUUAUGGGUGGAGGAGAGGAAGGGCAUUGGGUCCAGAAUCAUCUAAAUUAACCACCCUCACAGCUCUCCCAAUUGACAGCACGCAUUCGCUGGGCCUGGUACUGCUGUUUUCUGAGCUCCUUCUCUUCUUCCAUAGAGGAUGAAAAAACUACACACAACGUGACAUGCAAACUUAGCUCUUCAGGGCUCUCUGACUGCCACUGUGCUUCUUCCCAGACCCCAACUCAAACUAUCAUGGUGGAGAGACCCCCACGGCAAGGAUAUGAGGGUAGCCUCUGGUUAACGGCCAGUGAGGAACUUAGGCCCUCCCUCCAUGGCCCAUGAAAAACAAAAUCCUGCCAACAACUGCUACAUGAGCUUGGAAGCAGAUCCUGCCUCAUUUGAACCUUGAGAUAACUGUGGCUCUGGCUGACACCUGGAUUGCAACCUGUGAGAGACCCUGAAGCAGAAGACCCAGCUAAGCUGUGCCCAGAUUUCUCACGGAUGGAAAAUGGAAAAUAAUAGAGACAAUAAUAAAAAAUAAAUGUGUGUUGUUUUAAGCUGCU
ensembl:lncRNA